AGAUUGAACGCUGGCGGCAUGCCUAACACAUGCAAGUCGAACGGGAGUAGCAAUACUCUAGUGGCGGACGGGUGAGGAAUACGUAGGAAUUUGCCCUUAAGUGGGGGAUAACCCGGGGAAACCCGGAUUAAUACCGCAUGACCUCGAAAGAGCAAAGUGGGGGAUCGCAAGACCUCACGCUUUUGGAGAAGCCUACGUCGGAUUAGCUAGUUGGUGAGGUAAUGGCUCACCAAGGCGACGAUCCGUAAACUGGUCUGAGAGGAUGAUCAGUCACACCGGAACUGAGACACGGUCCGGACUCCUACGGGAGGCAGCAGUGGGGAAUAUGGACAAUGGGCGCAAGCCUGAUCCAGCAAACUGCCGCGUGUCGUGAAGAAGGCCUUCGG
rnacentral:rRNA from 1 species